GCCAGGUUAGUGUAGUGGUUAACACGUCAAAAAGAAGACCCAGGUUCGAUUCCUGGACCAGGCA
rnacentral:tRNA from 1 species